rnacentral:rRNA from 1 species
GACGUAGGAUGCAAGCGUUAUCCGGAUUCAUUGGGUUUAAAGGGAGCGUAGGUGGUCUUAUAAGUCAGUGGUGAAAUCUCGCAGCUUAACUGCGAAACUGCCAUUGAUACUGUAGGACUUGAGUAUAGUUGCUGUGGGCGGAAUAUGACAUGUAGUGGUGAAAUACUUAGAGAUGUCAUAGAACACCGAUUGCGAAGGCAGCUCACAAAACUAUAACUGACACUGAGGCUCGAAAGUGCGGGGAUCAAACAGG